rnacentral:lncRNA from 1 species
AUGCUCAAGACAAUGUGCCUGGAGCUCCGUGAGGAGGUCAGCGCGGUGAAGCUGGAGCAGUCCCAGAUGGCAGAGAACAUGCAGUACCUGAUGCAGAACUUCAACAUGGAACAAUUCCAGAACAUGAUGGAUGAGUUCCGGAACCAGCUGUGGGAGUCUCUCAUGUCUGCCAUGAAGGAAAUGCUGGCCGGACCCAGCGCCCGAGAAAAGAAGGCUGGCCAGGCCCUGGAGUCGGAGGAAGACCUCGGAGGGCUGAUUGUCAUCGGCAAUGAAAUUCCCCUCGUGGAAAGGCCCAAGACAGCGAAGCGUGGGGAGAGCCGGCCUGACAGCCCCAAGGGAGAGGGCAAAGAGAAGGACGAGGCUGCCAGCAGUGACGUUGGGGACAGUGACACAGCACAGAGUGACACGGCACAGAGCAGGGCACCGGCUGCCACGGCACAGAAGGGCGUGGGACAGAAGGACAUGAGGCAGCGGGGUGACACAGGACGGACUGACACGGAACAGAAGGACGUGGGACAGAAGGACGUGAGGCGAGGUGUGCAACGGAGCGAUGCAGGACAGAGUGACGUGGGACAGAAGGGCGUGGGGAAGAGUGUGAAAUGGGGUGACAGAGGAGGGACUGACAUGGGACAGGCUGACAUGGGACAGGAGGACAUGGAACAGAUCAGGAAGGAAGAGAUGGAGAUGGACAUUGCUGAGGUAGAGGCUCUUCCCAGCUCCCUGGACAGUCGCCCUGAGAUGACCAGCAUGGGAGAGAUCAGGGAAGAAGAGACCAAGAUGGGCAUCUCCAAGGCUCCUCCCCAUGCUCAGAUGAAGAUUUCAGAUGGCACCACCUCAGAAAUGCAUCCAGGAGCCCCUAGCAGCAGUGCCCCAGUCCAGAGGGUGCAGUCAGUCCGAGGCGUCCCAGGAUCCCAGGACCUCUGGGUACCAUCUGAGAGCGUGGCUGGGCCCAGCAGGAUGUUCCUGAGGGUGCCCUCUGCCGAGUACGCACCUUGCGACCCGCUGGUGAAGAUGUCUGCACAACGCCCUGGGGUCGUCCCGUCCACGCCGCCGGCAGCCCCCGGGCUCUCCAUGCGCAUGCCCCGCCUGCGCAGGCCGGACCAGAGGGACGAGGCAGCCGACGGCUACACCCGCCGGUCCCCGAUGUACUCCGGCGGCAAACACACCAGCGUCAGCCCCGUGCAGCGCAUGGAGCCCCUGCUCCCGGACCCCAACCUGCCCGGCACGUACGAACUGAUGGGCAAGGACGGAGUCGUGUACCGGGGCCGGAUGGUUCCGGAAUGAGCGAGCAACGCCGGCCUGCAGAAAUAAAGGGUAACCAACCAACA